AUGGGAUCCGCCUCCCGCCCCCUCCCCGUUGGCUACCUCCCUGCUGUGCCGGGAAACAGCGCCGCGCUGCCAGGCCCCGCCCCCAUCACACCAAUGAGCACAGCAGCCUCAAUCUCCGACAAUGGAUCCAGGCACCCCCGGUCAGAUCGCGCCCCAAGUACCCGUGCAGGCGCCGCCAAGUUCGUGGUUCGCCGCCCCUCUGUCCCCCUCUUCCACCUCCCAUCCUCCAUUGCUGGAGCAGCACGGCCCAUGGGCGUGCACUGCAUUGUGACUCCUCAUGCAGUGCAGAUUGGGCAUCAGGUAGGAUUGCUGUUCGUUGUGGUGGCUACAUGCCACAGUGAUUUUUUUAGUCAUUUUGUAUUUCACUCGCUUGGGUGCAGCUCACGGGUGCAUCGUGUGCAGCUCGCUGGAUCGAUCUGGAGGUUCCCAUGGGCCUCCUCUCCCAACUGCAUCGCCCUUCCCCGCGGCCUACUGCAAGCAUGGCGAGUAGAGCAUCAGCAGAUGCAUAGUGCUCUUCUGCACUUCAUUGAUUUUUGUGCUUUUCUGAACAGAAAAAAGUGA
rnacentral:rRNA from 1 species